GAUGAACGCUGGCGGCGUGCCUAAUACAUGCAAGUCGAGCGAAUGGAUUAAGAGCUUGCUCUUAUGAAGUUAGCGGCGGACGGGUGAGUAACACGUGGGUAACCUGCCCAUAAGACUGGGAUAACUCCGGGAAACCGGGGCUAAUACCGGAUAACAUUUUGAACCGCAUGGUUCGAAAUUGAAAGGCGGCUUCGGCUGUCACUUAUGGAUGGACCCGCGUCGCAUUAGCUAGUUGGUGAGGUAACGGCUCACCAAGGCAACGAUGCGUAGCCGACCUGAGAGGGGGAUCGGCCACACUGGGACUGAGACACGGCCCAGACUCCUACGGGAGGCAGCAGUAGGGAAUCUUCCGCAAUGGACGAAAGUCUGACGGAGCAUCGCCGCGUGAGUGAUGAAGGCUUUCGGGUCGUAAAACUCUGUUGUUAGGGAAGAACAAGUGCUAGUUGAAUAAGCUGACACCUUGACGGUACCUAACCAGAAAGCCACGGCUAACUACGUGCCAGCCGCCGCAGUAA
rnacentral:rRNA from 1 species